GGCGUUGUGGCUGAGUGGUUAAGUGCUUGACUUUCGAACCUGGAGUCCUGGGUUCGAAUCUCGGUAAAACUG
rnacentral:tRNA from 1 species